rnacentral:rRNA from 1 species
UACAGGAGGGUGCAAGCGUUAAUCGGAAUUACUGGGCGUAAAGCGUGCGUAGUCGGUUAUUUAAGUCGGAUGUGGAAUCCCCGGGCUCAACCUGGGAAUUGCAUUCGAUACUGGAUAGCUAGAGUUCGGCAGAGGGAAGCGGAAUUUCGGGUGUAGCGGUGAAAUGCGUAGAUAUCCGAAGGAACAUCAGUGGCGAAGGCGGCUUCCUGGACCAGAACUGACGAUCAGGCACGAAAGCGUGGGGAGCAAACAGG